CCUACGGGAGGCAGCAGUGAGGAAUAUUGGUCAAUGGGCGUAAGCCUGAACCAGCCAAGCCGCGUGAGGGAUGAAGGUUUUCUGGAUCGAAAACUCUUUUUAUAAGGGAGUAAAGUGUGGGACGUGCCCUAUUUUGUACGUACCUUAUGUACAAGGAACGGCUAACUCCGUGCCAGCAGCCGCGGUAAUACGGAGGAUCCGAGCGUUAUCCGGAUUUAUUGGGUUUAAAGGGUGCGUAGGCGGCCUUUUAAGUCAGCGGUGAAAGUCCGUGGCUCAACCAUAGAAUUGCCUUGGAAACUGGGGGGCUUGAGUGUGUUAGAGGCAGGCGGAAUGCGUGGUGUAGCGGUGAAAUGCGUAGAUAUCACGCAGAACCCCAGUUGCGAAGGCGGCCUGCCGGGCCAUGACUGACGCUGAUGCACGAAAGCGUGGGGAGCAAACAGGAUUAGAUACCCUUGUAGUC
rnacentral:rRNA from 1 species